rnacentral:rRNA from 1 species
GAUGAACGCUGGCGGCGUGCUUAACACAUGCAAGUCGAACGGUGAAGCUCCAGCUUGCUGGGGUGGAUCAGUGGAGAACGGAUGAGUAACACGUGAGCAACCUGCCCCUGACUCUGGGAUAACAGCAGGGAACGGCUGCUAAUCUAGGAUAUGAAACAUGAACGCAUGUUCUGUGGUGGUAUAGAACUUUCGGUAGGGGAGGGGGGUGCGGGCUCUCAGCUUGUUGGCGGGGUAGUGGGUUACGAAGGUGUCGACGGGUAGCCGGACAGAGAGGGUGACCGGCCACGCGGGGACUGAGACAGGGCGCAGACGCGGACAGGAGGGAACAGUGGGGAAUAGUGCGCAGUGGGGGAGAGCCGGAUGCGACGGCGCCGCGUGGGUGAUGACGGCCUUCGGGUUGUAAACCACGUUUAGCUGGUAUGUGGCGGGAUUGACGGUACCUGCAGAAAAAGCGCCGGCUAACUACGUG